rnacentral:rRNA from 1 species
UCGGAACGUGCCCUGGAGUGGGGGAUAACUAGUCGAAAGACUAGCUAAUACCGCAUACGAUCUACGGAUGAAAGUGGGGGAUCGCAAGACCUCAUGCUCGUGGAGCGGCCGAUAUCUGAUUAGCUAGUUGGUGGGGUAAAGGCCUACCAAGGCGAUGAUCAGUAGCUGGUCUGAGAGGAUGGACAGCCACACUGGGACUGAGAUACGGCCCAG